GGCGUCAGAGGUGUAUAAGAGACAGGUGAGUCAUCGAAUCUUUGAACGCACAUUGCGCCCUUUGGCAUUCCGAAGGGCAUGCCCGUUCGAGCGUCAUUACACCAAUCAAGCCUGGCUUGGUAUUGGGCGUCGGGAGACCCCGCGCCCCUAAUUCAUCGGCUGGACGGUUCGAAUCUCAGCGUUGUGGUCAUUCAAUUCGCUGGCGAGGACGACCGGACGCGCCGUUAAACCUCUUAUCACAGGUUGACCUCGGAUCGGGUAGGGAUACCCGCUGAACUUAAGCAUAUCAAUAAGCGGAGG
rnacentral:misc_RNA from 1 species